GGGGAUGAUAGGAUUCGAUAAUAAUGCCAUCUAAAAACAUUCGGAACGUGCCUGACACCACGCAAAUCUGUCAAAAACAAUAAGUGCAAAAAACUUAUUAGCAAAAGCUAUGGACGCUUUCCGCGCACCAGCUUUCGCUCCUGUUCUUGCCUAAAAACGCAAGAGCCAUCCGUCCAGUCAGGCCUGAUAGCUGGUCACGGGUGUCAUAACAUCGGGCUUAGUUUAUAAAGACGUUCUGAUUUAUAGACAAAAUUAAAGAACUAGCUAUUAUCGGUUUUGUUUAGUUUUCUACGUUAGUGGUUAAAUUCCAAACUAAACUAUUUCCGUAAAUAUGUUUUCUAGAUUAUUAUUAGACGCGGGUUCAACUCCCGCCAUCUCCAC
rnacentral:tmRNA from 1 species